rnacentral:rRNA from 1 species
AUUGAACGCUGGCGGCAGGCCUAACACAUGCAAGUCGAACGAGUGGCGGACGGGUGAGUAAUGUCUGGGAAACUGCCUGCUGGCGGGGGAUAACUACUGGAAACGGUAGCUAAUACCGCAUACCAUCAGAGGUGCCCAGAAGGGCUUAGCUUGUUGGUGGGGUAAAGGCUCACCAAGGCGACGAUCCCUAGCUGGUUUGAGAGGAUGACCAGCCACACGUGAACUGAGAUACGGCCCAGACUCCUACGGGAGGCAGCAGUGGGGAAUAUUGCACAAUGGGCGCAACCCUGAUGCAGCCAUGCCGCGUGUAUGAAGAAGGCCUUCGGGUUGUAAAGUACUGUCAGCAGAGAAGCGUUACCCGCAGAAGAAGCACCGGCUAACUCCGUGCCAGCAGCCGCGGUAAUAC